GCACUGGUGGUUCGGUGGUGGAAUUCUUGCCUUCCAUGCAGAAGGCCUGGGUUCGAUUCCCAGCCAAUGCC
rnacentral:tRNA from 1 species